UUCAUGGUUCCAGGCUGUCUCUUCGUAUGGGCGAACAAACAAGUGUCAGAUUACUGCCAGAGCCCGAGUCGUGUCAAUUUCUGAUUUUGCAGCAUUUUAUUCUCACUUGAGUCGUGUGGUGUCCAAGCUAUCUGAAACGCACGCUCCCUCCCUCUCUCUCGCUCGCUCGCAGACACACCCCAACUCGCCCACCGCCGGUCAGACGCCCUGGAGAUAGGAAUUGGCGGAGGACAGCGACACGCGCGUACAAGGGGUGCAACCGAGGACCGAUCAACAAAGCAGACAGGGCGCCAUUAGACAGACCGCUCAAUUACGUUUGUUUUGUGGUACUAUAAAGAAGUCGGCUACAUUUCAGUCUUCCUUCUACCAGACUGAUACCGAUGCCUAUGGAACAGGUCAUGCAACAAGCCGGCCUCAUGAUUGGAGAACCACCACCUGGGCCCAGCCUAUAAAUCCAAAGCCAUGGAUUCCUGUUCUUUCCGUGUCCUUCACGUGUCAUUGAGGUGGUUGUGCUGGGCGAGGACAUGUCAGCGGUGCCCCUAAUGGAGCAGGAGCUCUGCCAGGGUCCGUGGUGGGAUCU